GUCGGCAGCAGGAGCUCGAGCAACAACAGAGAGUCUAUUGAUCAUACAAGGAAGACUCUUUUUUUGGCUACCAGUUUCUAAAUGGUGCCAAUCCCUUUUUGAUCCGGCGCUGUACAGAACUGCUGGAGAACUUUCCUGUCACUGAUGACAUAGUCAGCAUAGUUUAGCAGAUGAAAUGAAGAAUGGCAACAUCUUCCUGUGUGACUACAAGAUUUUGGAUGGAGUGCAGACAAACACCAUCACUGGAAAGAAGCAGUACUUGAUGGCCCCCUCGUUCUACUCGUUCUACUCCCAAAUAUCCAAGAUCAUAAUAAAACCAGUACACAGCGUGCAGCCCCAUGCACGGGGCGAUCCGUGAUAACUCGCUAACAGAGAUUUGCCGCGUUAAUGCGUUUAUGGCAUUAACGCCAUUUUAACAAGAUUAACGCUGACAGCACUAAUCUAUACAUAUCAGACCAGACCAUAUAGACUCAACAGACCUGCAUGUUAAGUCUUAGAGUUCAGGACAACAGAAUCAGAAAAAGACUAAAUAAGUAUGGCCUGUUUGGAAGCGUUGCCAAGAGAAAUCCUCUACUGUCUGAAAAGAAAACGUCAGCAUGGCUUAGUUUUGCCACGACUUCAAGUAAUUCAUUUUGGACAGAUGAGAUCUCCUCUGUUAUGUUU
ensembl:lncRNA